rnacentral:rRNA from 1 species
UACGUAGGGGGCAAGCGUUAUCCGGAUUUACUGGGUGUAAAGGGAGCGUAGGCGGCUAGGUAAGUCAGAUGUGAAAGCCCGGGGCUCAACCCCGGGACUGCAUUUGAAACUGCUUAGCUAGAGUAUCGGAGAGGUAAGUGGAAUUCCUAGUGUAGCGGUGAAAUGCGUAGAUAUUAGGAGGAACACCAGUGGCGAAGGCGACUUACUGGACGAUUACUGACGCUGAGGCUCGAAAGCGUGGGGAGCAAACAGG